CUGAAAGUAUUCUCUUUGUGUUCAAAUUUCAUAGAACAUUUUGUCAUUUUGAUGGAGUCUAGGGGUGCUAGGAACCCUGAAAUGCAAGGGCACAGGGUGGGAGUCUGCCUUGAAAGAAUCUGACCACUCAAGCCUUCUUUCAGUCCAAACCGUCCUCAAGAGUAGGCUGUGCUUCCACUCAUUGAGGCCACGGGAUCACAGACUCAGAACUGUAAGAGCUCAAAUCCAACCUCCUCAGAUGAAAAAACUGAGUCCCAGAAAGCAGGUCGGAAUACCCAAAUUUAAAUGAUCCACUAACUCCAGCUUCCUCAGCAGCAGGAAUACUGAUACAUAUUUUAACGUCUCUUGUGUGAUUUUUACUACAUGCAUGAAAAACACCUUGUUGGAGGUAAAACUUUAAGCUCUUGCAGCCAUCGAUGGAAGGAAAAAUCAUUGUGAAGAAGUGGCAUACCUUCUUCAUCACCACCAACUGCCAGCAACAGACAGAUGAGCACAAGAGCCCUGAGAACUCCCAAGUCCUAAGUCAGUACUCCCAAGACCACCUGUCCUGCUUCCAGCAGAAUCCUCACAGUCAUCAUCCAGGGAAGCAACUCCUGCAAAGAAGGGGCCAACUAUUCCCACUACCUGCCAACCAACUGCCAAUUGGGUAGUCAGGCCAGAUUAACUAAAGCAAUGGGGCAUCCUGAGGGACAGACAGGAGGCAGCAUGUGCCAGGCAGCCACCAUCCCCACCUUGACCACCAUCUCCCCUUCGCCCCUGAAGGAGAUAGCCCAGAACCCUGCACCCAAGAGCCUUUAGAAUAACAACCUAGAGCCCUUACCCAUAAUUCUUAGAUAAAUCUAAGAAUUUAUCCCCCACCCCCUUGUGUAGAUGCAGCCUAGCAACUGCUCCUGUAGAUGCUAUAAACGUGUCUUUUGAAGACCCAGAAAAGAAAGUUCUUGUCAUUGUCAAAUGGCUGACAUCAGAAACUGAUAUAAUUUAAUUAGUGAAAAUGACAUUAUGAAAGAAGCAUUACCAUCUGCUUUGCCACUGUAUUCUAAGCACCACAGAACUUUUCCAUCUGAC